AUACAGGUGGGUGGGGUGAGGCAGGAAGAGCCCACUGGCCUGCCCCAGGCUUUUCUGCAAUGUGAAUGAGUGAUAGAAGAAGGAUUCAGCAGCUGAACUGCAAUACAUCUGCUGGCUGUAUCAGUCCUGAGGAUUAUAGGAUUUCACGAGUCUUCUGGUCUUGACUACCUGAUCCUGAGGGCUGUCAUCUCCAGCCCAGGAGCUGUGGGAUGGGCUGAUGCUCCACGGAGUGUGGGAGCCAAGUGGGGAGGAGAGACCCUGGGGCAAGGACAGACAGAGGAGGAAGACGGGGACUCCCCUUGUUGGAAGGACUCUAAGCACCAUAGGUUAUCUUACGUCUGAGGCUCUCACCACCUGUUCCUGCUCCUUCUACUUUAUCUUCCAAAGGCCCCCAUCCAACGUAUCUCUUGCACAUCUAAUUCUGUCUUGAGACCUGAUUCCUCUAAGACCCAAACUAAUAUGCCUGGGCUCCCCCCUGUCCCCCUCACCCGGCCCUGUGGAAGGGCAGGGCAGAAGAUAGAACAUCAGCAGACCCAGGGGAGGGGUCGAGGGGAGCAUGAGAGGUUCACAAAGGAAGGAUGUUUGUCUGUCAGCCCAAACAUCCUACCUUGUCAACUUCUGUGUCCAGCCUUCCUCGGUCACUACCACAGGUCAAACCUGAUUAGACCAUUCCCCGGGCUAUAACCCUUCAGUAGUCUCAUGUCUGCUGGGGACAGUCCAAACUCUCACCCAGCCCAGCUCUGAGUCUCCCAUUCAAGUUACACUCCUGCCCUAUUACGCCCCCAGGCCCUCCUGUGCCUUUGAACAUGACAAUGAAGAGCCAGUGUCUUCCCUUGCCCACUUGUCAAUGACCCUUCUAGUGUCUGACUCGGCAGUAGAACAGCUCCUCAUCCAGGGUUCCCUGGCACUCUGCCCAGGCUUGCAGGGGAAUGAACUGGGUGAGAAAGGUUUGUUUCCAUGUCUGCCUCCCCCAGGUAUUGUAGCCCCUCAGGAGCAGGGCCUAGGCCGUAAUCCUCUUCACAUUUUCAACAACUGGCACAAGAUCUGACCCUUAAUAGGUGCUCACCACUGUGUGUGUUGAAUAAGGACAAGUUUGAAUGCUGAGUAAGUGAAUGAAUGAGGAAAUAUUAGGUUAUUAAGUAUGAAAUGUCUGAUUUCCUUCGGUACUAAAUUUGACAGUUGAUAUCUCUGACAUUUCACUUGAACUUUUUUUUUUAUUGUGAAGGUACAUCCUCAUUCUUUCAGAUGCAUGUUUUGGCUUGUGAUUAUCUUUCAAACUUUUUGAAGAGCAAUCUUUGUGAAACCAAGUAUAAAUCAAAAAUUCAUGUUAUAUUCAAAAUAUAAAUGAAGUGUUUGGGAAGGAUGUAGCUAAUGAACGCACAGUACAUGAAUGAUUUGAGAAGUUCCAUUGUGAUGAUCUUAAUCUUGAAAAUGAAUCAUGUGGGCGACCUGAGACCAAGGUGGAUAAUGAUGAGCCAAAAGCUGGGGUGGAAGCAAAUCCAUUUCAACCUAGGUGUGAAUUAGCCGCAAGGUUUGAAGUUCCUGUUCAACAAUAUCGGACCAUUGGAAACAUAUUGGCAAGAUAAAGAAACUGGACAGAUGGGUUCUGCAUGAAUUAAAUGAGCGUCAGAAGAGAAAUCGUUUCAAAUCUUGCCUUUCUCUUUGCUGUCACACUACACUGUAUUAUUUUCUGCCAUGAAAAAUAGAUACUUUUUGACAAUGGUUAAGUGUUCAAUGGUUGAAUAAAGAUGAAGCACUGAAACACAGCCCCAAAGCAAAUAUUCAUCAAAAAAAGCUGGUGGUGUGUCUUUGCUGGUCCAGAGCUGGUAUUGUCCACUACAGCAGCGGUUCUCAACCUGUGGGUCGUGACCCACAGGGAAUGUAUUAAAGGGCCGAGGCAUUAGGAAGGUUGAGAACCAGUGCACUAUAGCUUCAUAAAACCUCGUCAAUUGAUUACAAAGGUUGCCUACUGCAACCAACUGGACGAAAUAAUGAGGAUGCUCCCACUUACACAGCUGAGAUUGGUCAAUAGAGACAAAGCCCAUCCUCUUACAAGAUAACCUUUGACCACACGUCAUAAAAUCAACGCUGCACAAACUACAGAAGCUGGACUCAGAAACUCUGUCAUCCACUAUAUUUACCAGACCUUGCACCAACUGACUAUCCCUUCUCCAGGCAUUGGACCCUUUCUUGCAAGGAAAAAUAUUUCAAUCUUAAUAAGCUGUGGAAAACACCUUUUGUGAUUUCAUCACCACUUGUUUUCUAGGCUUCUUCAAUGGUGGCAUAAACUGUUGAAAGGGAAAAACUGUGUUGAUAGUUUAGGCACAUACUUUGAUUAACUUUAUUGCUUCCUGUUUGGUAUAUAAUAAACUAAACUUUUGAUUUGAAAUCAGACAUUUCAAACUUAAUGGCCUAAUAUAUGAAUGAAUAUGUAAGUAAAUGAACAAAUGCCUCCCACCUGCCCCAUAUCAUUGCCUGACACUCCUGCUCCCUCAGCUGGGGUGAGCCCACUCACAUACCCUAAGUUCCUCUGUGCUUUGUAUAGUGCAACUGGUCAUUUCCAUUUGCUCCAUCCACCUUACUGAGGGUCCUGAAAGAGGCCAAAGCAGUGCCAUCCAGAGCAUGGGCUAUGGAGUCUGAUGCACUUCCUAGGUCUGAAUCCCAGCUCCGCCCCUUGUAGGCUGUGGGAGCUCUGGCAAAUGGCUUGACUCUUCUGAGCCUGUUUUCUCCUCUGUAAAAUGAGAAUGCUGGCAUCCACCUAUAGGGUAAUGUGGCGAUGAAAUGAGACCAGGGAGGUGUGCUAUAGAUGGGACUGGGAGCUCUCAAGCAUCUAGUGUAUAUGAAGUGCUAACUAAAUGUUAGUUGAAUGAAUGAAUGGAUUAAAAAAAUGGAACUCCACUGACUUGGCUUCUGAACUGAGGCCUUCAGAGGCCCUAUGCUCCUCCCUUGUUGGCCUUUAUAGCUUUCCUCUCCUAUAGGAAGGGGGUUCUCAUUUCUGGUGGCAUCUAGGGAGAGGUAAACCCUUGAUUUCCAUCCAUCUCUCCUCCAGCUGUGGGUACACACCAAGUUCCAUCCUCCGUUGCUGGGGUUCUUUCAUUCCCUUCUCACCAGUGGGAUGAUGGCGCUUAGAUUCUAGCCCCUGGAGGCCUAUAGUUUGCUAAAGCUGAUAUUAAGUGGGGGUUUCUCCUCCCCAUCAUUCUUGGUCAUCCCUCAGGUCAGGAAAAUCAGUGGAUGUCAGUAAAACUCUUGCCUACCUGUUGAGUGCUGGGUACCCACCUCUCCAUCCAAGUCACAUCUCCUGAGUGUCCCUCUUUACCUUGCUAGGAGCUCUGGGGACCCUGUAAGGCCCUGCAUGAUUGGGGUCCUCCUCUGUACUCUCUCUGAACUUAGUCCUAGUUUCCAGCUCUCCGCAGCUACCCAGAUCUCUCACAUGUAACCCAUCUCCCCGUCUUUCCCACAUAGGCCAGUCCCUCCUGCCUCAGUGCCUUUGCACUUGCUGGCAGAAGGGUCUCUCCUCUGAUGUCUGCAGAGCUUACUCCCUUAUUUUGCUCACAUCCCUGCUUCAAUGUUACUGUAUCAGCAAGUCCUUCCAUGGCCACCCAAUCUAUAGCAGCCUCCUAAUCACUAAUCAGGCUUUAACUUUCUCCUUCCCAUCAUUCUCAGUCAUCCCUCCGCCACUUUAACUGUCUUUAACUUUCUCUAAGCACCUUCCACCACCUGAUGAUUAUCCAGGUACCUGUUUGUUCAUGCAUGUCCCCUCAUACUACAGUGCCAGCUCCCCAAGGACAGGGUUUGCUUGUUUGGUUAGCAUUGCUUCCUCAGCACCCAGUCUAGCUCACACUAGCUACACAAUUUAUCUGCUGAAUAAAUAGAUGGACAAAUGAAUGAACAAAUAAGCAAGCCAGGAAUGCCGUUUAUAGACGAGGCAUGAUUUCUGAGCUUAAGCCCAUCCUACUGGCCCAGAAGUAUUUGCGUGUCUGUCAUUUUAGCACCUGGAAAGUACAGCCCUUACAGGCACCAGUCCCAGGGUGAUGGGGUUCCCAAAGUGACUUCCCUCAGCUGUGCCUCUCAGAAUACCCCUCCCUCUCUUUAAGUGCCCCAGUUGCAGCCCACCUCCCCACUCCUCCUGCUAGCUCUGAAUUCCUUCCGUGUGUGUGUGUGUGUGUGUGAUAGAUAGAAGGAUAGAUAAUCACAGAAUCAUGACCCUAUUGUCCAGCCCUCAAUGGCUAUCUCCUUGUUGCUUAGAAUUCCCACCUUGUAAACCCUCCAAGGGAAGACACUAUUGAAAAGAGCAAUGCAGUCUUCUAGCUGGGUUUCAAGUUCCAACUCUGCUGCUCACCAGCUAUAGGACCUUGGAAGUUGCACAGCACCCCUGUGCCUCAGUUUCCCUGUGUGUGACAUGAAAAUAGAAAAACCUGUCCUUGCAGGUCACAAAAAUUUUGUGAUUUUGAGAUCUCAAACCUAUCCUUGCAGGUCACAAAAAUUUUGUGAUUUUGAGAUCUCAAAAAUCAAAGUGCCUGGCACAAGAAUACCUCAAAUGAAUUCUGUUGUACUGUGUGUGUGGUGGGGCAGGGUCCUCCUUCUCUGCCCUCCUCUCUGAGGUGGCUGGAACUGCGUAGAAAGGAAGGAUCGUGGGAAUAGUCCAGGCUAGGAAUGGUAGAGAUGGGAAGAGAUGGGCUGCGAGGCUCUGAGUUUCGUGGGCUGAAGCAGGGGCUUGGGAUAAAGGGUGUAGGAAGGUCCCACACAUCUGGGAGGCUUGAGCCACCCACCUGUGCUUCAAGAUCUGCUGCUGCCCUGGGACUCAGUCUG